AUGUUAGUUAGAAAACUCGAAACACAACCAUGAGCCCCCCACAUUAUCUACUACCAUGCCAAACGCCGUUAUCGGGAGUGCGUAGAGUCUCACUUCCGCCACGGUGACGCACAAAGCAUGUGACACUGACUACGCACAAUCACGGAGUAUAAAGCCAGGGACACUGCGACGAUCAACGCAGACUCUGCUUUCACCAACGAGUUGAACGUGUUCUACCCCCACUUCGAGGUUAGCCAGGUGGCUAAUGCUAACAACCGCCUGACAAUAGCUAGGUUUCAUUUGACAUAGACGUGACGUCGACGUAAAGCGCGAAAUUUGACUGGCGGUCGGAAGUGAAAAAGAUAAGCGCAAAAUCACAGACAGACAGUACGCAAAAUGCCUAUGUCCUGUUGUGUUUACGGAUGCUCCAGUAGGUCGACCAGAGAAACCGAUAAACGGUAUUUUAGGGUACCAAAAAUAGCCCAACGAAGAGGAGAAAAAUGGAAAAUUCUAACCGAAAAACGUAGGAAAAAAUGGAUUUUAAAUUUACGUUUACAGUCGGGAGGAGCAGAGUCUGCCAAUGCCCGUGUCUGCAGCGACCACUUCGUCAGAGGCUGCCCAAGUGCUUUGGAUGACGAAGAGUCGGAGGACUGGGCUCCGACGGUCAAUCUCGGCUACGAACGAAAACCCAGAUCGGAAUCAGUUCUCAAACGAGAGAAAAGAAUGAAGCUUAAGGCAGAACAGCAUCGAUGUGCAGAGGCGAUUUUGGAUAUGCAACAGACGGCUGAGAGCCCGGAUUUGAGCCUAGUGACAGUGGAGAACCCCGAACUGCAGCUUCCAGCUGAGAAUCCACAACCAGAAGACUUCAGUGUGAAUGAGACAUUCACUUAUCCAGGUAAGAUAUUGUGCUGAGAUGUAAAACAAACAAGAAUCAUGUCAAAGAGAAAAAGAUGCCAUUAUCUGUAAUGAUUAUGGUCCAAGUUACAUAUUACAUGUUUGUGAUUUUUUAAUCACAGAGUAAAUCCAUACCAUUUUAUUCAGAAAAAAAGAAAAAGUGGCACUUAUUACCGUCAGGCACACACCACAGGUUUUUGUAUGUGUAUGUGUAUGUUCUCAUUGCAAUAACAUCCUACUUAAUUAGGCUACUAACCCUGCCAUACAAUUGCAAUGAGCUGCAAUCACUUCUCCAUCCUCCUUUGCAAUUACCCAAGUCUUCAGAGGUGUCUCGUUAGACCUCUGGGAAUGGUUUACCUUGAAACAAACAACUGUCACUCUAACGAAGUCCUAAGGAUGUGGCAUGUUUGUUGACGUUAAAGCCGCUACCGCUAACUGUUAGCGUGUUUAAGAUAAAGCAAUAUAAGAACAAACACUCACCCUUGCAAACACCAAACUGUAUCCAUCACGGAGACGUUUUGUUCCAAGGUUGUGGACCCACCCGCUGACAAAAAAAUUGUACGCCUCCAGACUCUUGAAAGCUUUCAUUUGCUGCCUAGUGUAGUAAGAAGUCUGGAGGACCAAGUAGUUGGUGAUAUCCACAGCCUCGAUAGUAGGCAAAUCCUUUACUUCUGUGGUGUAUUCGGACAUUUUCAAAGAAUACGGAUCACGUCCGAUAUAUUUUUUAACUAUCUGUUUAUAUCUCUCCCGAGAAACGGGGUCUAAAGUUGCACAAUAGCUGCUCUCCUGACUCUCCACAGUGUCCUCCAUGUUUACUUCCGCCCUCCACUCAAAAAUCGCGCUGCCUCCGCACGUCAUCAGAACCACGUGACCGCAACCCAACUAUUGAGGAUGGUGACGUCAUCAGAGAUGGACCGGUGAUCAGCUUUGCAGAGCACAACGUCCGAGUGGCGCUGAGGAGAGUGAACACAAGGAAAGCGGCAGGACCAGACGGCAUCACCAGCCAUCUGCUGCGUUGCUGUGGUAACCAGCCAGCAGGUGUGCUCACUUCCAUUAUCAAUGAGUCCCUGGCUAAGUCCGUGGUCCCCACAUGCUUCCACCAUCAUCCCUGUGCUCAUGAACAACAAGCCCUCAUGCCUGAAUGACUACCGGCCAGUUGUACUGACUUCGGUGGUAAUGAAGGUGUUCGAGAGGCUGUUGAAAAACGUCAUCUCCUCCUCCAUCCCAAACACCUCAGAUCCCCUCCAGUUCGCCUACCAACCCAAUCCAGCCACGUGGACAGGAAACGGGGUGGUGAGGGUCGUUGUGCACUCUCGCCCCCCCCACCAAUCAACCAUAAGUGACUGAGACAGGACCCAUUGUUAUGAAAUUCUCAUAUCAUGCCUGAUCCUUCUGGCUUCACUGCGGCACAAGUCACUUUAACACCCCACUCACACAAUAUACAUUUCCCAAUUUCUAACUGUAAAUUUCCAGAUUGUUUUAUUUCAUUUACUUAAUGUAUAUAAUUCACUCACUUACUGCACAUAAUGUCCACUUUGUAUAUAUUUACUUACUUACUGUAUAUAAUGUUUUCUCUCUCUUUUUGCACAGUCGAGGAGCGUAUCAGGACACAUUUCACUGCAUAACUUGUAUAACUAUGCAUGUGACAAAUAAAAGAUUUUGAAUCUUGACUCUACCAUGUAAGCUACAGAGAGGUUCUCCUCUCCUAAGAGCAGAAAUGUUUUCGUUCUGCCAGCCAGAGCUUUCAUGAUUUGUGCCGACUCUAUGUACUGGAUGGGGACAUAAAUAAUAAUUAUUAUGUUGCACAAACUUUAUAUAGUAAUACACAGAAGACUUUCCCCCCUCAGCAGUAACAUUUUCCAGCAAUAACUCCUACUGUAUGAUUUAUUUUUUUGCACCAUAACGUCAUUAAACAGCCAUUUCACUUAAGUGCCAAAUGGAAGCUAAUGUCCACAAGGUCAGUAUACUUCAUCCAGAUUUUGUCCAACAAGCCAAAAGAUGGCUCCAUAUCUCAGCCUCUCAGUCGACAGCGAAUCCAGGUUGCAGUGCUGAAAUAUCCUCCUCAGAAAAAUCAAUAACCGAG
rnacentral:lncRNA from 1 species